rnacentral:tRNA from 1 species
CGGAUGUGGCGAAAUUGGUAGACGCACCAGAUUUAGGUUCUGGCGGGAGACCGUGGGGGUUCGAGUCCCUCCAUCCGCACCA